rnacentral:rRNA from 1 species
CAGUCGCCGCGGUAAUACGUAGGGUGCGAGCGUUAAUCGGAAUUACUGGGCGUAAAGCAUGCGCAGGCGGUUAUAUAAGACAGAUGUGAAAUCCCCGGGCUCAACCUGGGGCCUGCAUUUGUGACUGUAUAGCUAGAGUACGGUAGAGGGGGAUGGAAUUCCGCGUGUAGCAGUGAAAUGCGUAGAUAUGCGGAGGAACACCGAUGGCGAAGGCAAUCCCCUGGACCUGUACUGACGCUCAUGCACGAAAGCGUGGGGAGCAAACAGGAUUAGAUACCCGCGUAGUCCCUGUCUCUUAUAC